CAAAAAAAAAAAGGAUGGGCAUAUUCUUCAUGUUUCCACUGGUAUAUUAGAAAAUUUUGGGAAACAGACCUUUAACAAAUCAGUUUUAGUAAUAGCAACCAAGAAGAAGACACUCUAUAGCAAAAACCAUAUGUUCAAUGAAACUUUAUAAACACCAAUAUUGCAAAUAUUUGUUAUCCCUGGUACAUUAAUAUAACUCUAUGCCAUUAGCCUUACAACAUCUAAGUUCGGAAAUAACACUUGAAACUUGAAAGCAUAUCAUACGGUUCACAUACUACAAGAGAAUUGUUCCUAGAAGAAAAGGCCACCAUGCACAUACUACAAAAGAAUUGUUCCUAG
rnacentral:misc_RNA from 1 species